rnacentral:rRNA from 1 species
AUGGGGCUCUGCAUGUCUAGCGGCGGGGCGGUGCGCUCCGAGGGGCUGGCCGCGUCGACUGCGAUGGUGCUGCUGCCAACGGGGGAGCUGCGCGAGUACCCGCCCCCGGCGACGGCGGCGCAAGCCCUCCAGGACUCCGUGGAGGCAGGAGACGGCUCCGCCGGGUGGUUCCUGUGCGACGCCGACGCGAUGGGGUUCGAGGGUCCCGUGGCGGCCGUAGGCGGGGGCGAGGAACUGCGCCCGGGCCAGAUCUACUUCGUGCUCCCCACCGAGGUUAGGAGGAACGGGCUCCGCCGCGAGGACGUGGCCGCACUCGCCGUCAGGGCGUCCGCGGCGCUCGUCACCAAGGCCAACACCAACGCGUCCGGCAGUGGCGGACGGAGGAGACGCGCCGGCUCUGUUUCGCCGUUCGUGUUCGCCCCUCCGCCUGAGGUGGACGAGACUCUUGCCUACAAGACCGUGCCGGCGCUGGUAGUGAAGAGGCGGCCGGUGGCGCGCGUAAAGAGUGCCGGGAGGAUGCAGCUGAGGUUCGCCCCGGAUCUGACCGCCAUUCCUGAAUGCGAGUAA